rnacentral:rRNA from 1 species
AUGAUGAGGAUCCUCAGGUCAGAUGAUAAAGGAUGGUACGUUUGCGUACACAGGGCAGAGCACAACCAUGAACUUUCUGUCAACUGUAUGCAGAAAUUACACUGGAAGUCUCAUCGGCAGAUAGAUAGGCACACAGAGGACCUUGUGAAACAGCUGAGGGAAAGCAAUGUAAGCAUAAGCAAGGUUUACAGUGUUGUGGGCAGUUUUUUUGGAUCAGUGAAGGAGGUGACGUUCACCAAAAGGUCUCUGAAGAAUCUAUGUGGGAAGCUUAACCGCGAGCAAUCAGAAAAUGAUGCAACUAAGACCAGCUGGACGCCCUAG